GGUCUCCGUAGGUGAACCUGCGGAGGGAUCAUUACAAGUGACCCCGGCUACGGCCGGGAUGUUCAUAACCCUUUGUUGUCCGACUCUGUUGCCUCCGGGGCGACCCUGCCUUCGGGCGGGGGCUCCGGGUGGACACUUCAAACUCUUGCGUAACUUUGCAGUCUGAGUAAACUUAAUUAAUAAAUUAAAACUUUUAACAACGGAUCUCUUGGUUCUGGCAUCGAUGAAGAACGCAGCGAAAUGCGAUAAGUAAUGUGAAUUGCAGAAUUCAGUGAAUCAUCGAAUCUUUGAACGCACAUUGCGCCCCCUGGUAUUCCGGGGGGCAUGCCUGUUCGAGCGUCAUUUCACCACUCAAGCCUCGCUUGGUAUUGGGCAACGCGGUCCGCCGCGUGCCUCAAAUCGUCCGGCUGGGUCUUCUGUCCCCUAAGCGUUGUGGAAACUAUUCGCUAAAGGGUGUUCGGGAGGCUACGCCGUAAAACAACCCCAUUUCUAAGGUUGACCUCGGAUCAGGUAGGGAUACCCGCUGAACUUAAGCAUAUCAAUAA
rnacentral:rRNA from 1 species